UACGUAGGGUGCAAGCGUUUGUCCGGAAUUAUUGGGCGUAAAGAGCUCGUAGGCGGUCUGUCGCGUCGGCUGUGAAAACCCGGAGCUCAACUCCGGGCCUGCAGUCGAUACGGGCAAACUGGAGUGUUGCAGGGGAGACUGGAAUUCCUGGUGUAGCGGUGAAAUGCGCAGAUAUCAGGAGGAACACCGGUGGCGAAGGCGGGUCUCUGGGCAACAACUGACGCUGGAGGAGCGAAAGCGUGGGGAGCGAACAGGA
rnacentral:rRNA from 1 species